UGGGGAAUAUUGCACAAUGGGGGAAACCCUGAUGCAGCGACGCCGCGUGAAGGAAGAAGUAUCUCGGUAUGUAAACUUCUAUCAGCAGGGAAGAUAGUGACGGUACCUGACUAAGAAAGUCACGGCUAACUACGUGCC
rnacentral:rRNA from 1 species